rnacentral:rRNA from 1 species
AUUGAACGCUGGCGGCAGGCUUAACACAUGCAAGUCGAGCGGGGGGAGGUAGCUUGCUACCGGACCUAGCGGCGGACGGGUGAGUAAUGCUUAGGAAUCUGCCUAUUAGUGGGGGACAACACCUCGAAAGGGAUGCUAAUACCGCAUACGUCCUACGGGAGAAAGCAGGGGAUCUUCGGACCUUGCGCUAAUAGAUGAGCCUAAGUCGGAUUAGCUAGUUGGUGGGGUAAAGGCCUACCAAGGCGACGAUCUGUAGCGGGUCUGAGAGGAUGAUCCGCCACACUGGGACUGAGACACGGCCCAGACUCCUACGGGAGGCAGCAGUGGGGAAUAUUGGACAAUGGGGGGAACCCUGAUCCAGCCAUGCCGCGUGUGUGAAGAAGGCCUUAUGGUUGUAAAGCACUUUAAGCGAGGAGGAGGCUACUUUAGUUAAUACCUAGAGAUAGUGGACGUUACUCGCAGAAUAAGCACCGGCUAACUCUGUGCCAGCCGCCGCAGUAA